rnacentral:lncRNA from 1 species
UGUGACCAGCGAUGUGUAACUACAUCUGAUGGACUGGUCGGAUUUUUAAACGGCGGUGCAUCAGCAUGGCUGCAGCUUUGAGCUGAAACUAGGAAAAAAAAAAUGAAAUGAUGCUUUCAAUUGCACAUUCAAUACAGUUGUAGAAAUUAAAAAGUAAUAAGCAGAAUUGGUGAAUAAUGACCGCUCGGUACUUCUGGUGUUCACUAAAUGUGUAUCUAUUCAUAUAGAUGUAUGACUAUCAAUGUGACAAUUCAUAAGAACAAUAAGCAUUUUGAGCUCCUCCUAAAUUGGUGAUAGUGUUCUGGGCUUUCUCCAUGGCAUUAACCAAGCUACUCAUCAGGGAAUUGCUGUAAUUGUCAAAGCUCCUUCUAUGACAAAACAGAAUGGAGAAAGAACUGUGUGUGGUAACAACUUCCCACCUCUAUAGUUUGUAAGAUAACUUACCUGUGGGAUAUGCUUUUUAAAAACAUGAGCUCCUCCUAAAAUGGUAGUGUUGUGGGCUUUCUCCAUAAAAAUAUAUAUCUAUGCACAUAUACUUGAUAUGAUGUUCAUGAUAGCACAUUUAAAACAGUUGUAGAAAUUAAAAUGUAAUAAGCAGAAUUGGUGAUAAAUGACCGCUCGGUACUUCUGGUGUUAACUAAAUGUGUAUCUAUUCAUAUAGAUGUGUGACUAUCAAUGUGACAAUUCAUAAGAACAAUAAGCAUUUUGAGCUCCUCCUAAAUUGGUGAUAGUGUUCUGGGUUUUCUCCAUUACAUUAACCAAGCUACUCAUCAGGGAAUUGCUGUAAUUGUCAAAGCUCCUUCAAGGCCAAAGAAAGAAAAAGGGACACUCUGUAACUGUAAAUGUAUUCACACAGGAGAGGAGGUAGAGCAGUGUGUGAUAACAGCCUCCCAACUCUAACCUGUUGGGUAGUUUUCCUUUAUAAAAGCACUUUCUUCCGGAUUAUUAAUCCCUUUUGCUUGAAUCUUGUUAUGAAACUGUUAAACCCAAUAGGUGUGGCUGUGUGAUGAGAAGCUUGUAAGUGGAUUUUGAAGAUGGAAACUAAAAGAAGCCCAUCAUUUAUAUAUAUAUAUAUAUGUGUAGGAAGCCUAUUGUCUACCUUGCUAUUCAGCUCUAAAUUUUUUAGUGUUCAGAUUAAUUUGUCAAAUGUAAUGCUUAUUUGUUCAUGUUAUUUUCAACUAUUCAGGUGUCACAGGUGUCUCCGAAAUAUUUACCUGUAAUUUUGUUAAUUUUUUUUUUUUUACAAACAGAUCUAAAAUUUUGUUUGUGGGUGCUAAUAUAACAGUGGAUUAUAGUUAUGAAACUUCAGCUGAUCUUGCUGCUUAAAAUUUGACUUUAAUGGGCAGGUUAAUUUAAUUAACAGGUGUGAAAGCAAUAACAUGGUUAAACACUAAAAUUGAAAUUCUUAAUACAUCUCAACCAUUUGAUUUGUUACUAGAAUUAUCCCAGGUGUCAACUGCCAAAAAUUUUGCCACUUUUCAAGAUGAGGUACAUUAAUUUGAAUUAAUAAAAAUACAGGUGUAAUCGGUA